GGAAGUAAAAAAUGUGACUGUAGAUGAGAAGUACUAUAUGUCUCACCAUAGAGAGCCAAUCAUAAAAUGUCUAUUUCCUUCUCUACAGUGAGACUCAAACAAGGUUCUGUGAGAGACAAGACCCUCAAUCAGGACUGUGACAAUGUGGAGCUGAAUUACGCCGCCUUACAUUUCAAUGAGAGGAGAGCCAAAAGAGGAAAAGUAAAGAAACAACAACCUCAAGAUAUUAUAUAUUCUGAUGUGCGAGGUCCUUCUGUAACUUAGAUUUGAUCUCUAAUAUGAUUCAGUGUCAUUAGUUCUGUUAUCAGGUUUACUGUAUAUAUGUUUUGUUAAUGAUUGUUCAGACUGAAUUCAAACUGAAAGCUGAAUGACGUAGAAGUCUCAAAAUCACUGAAACAUUGGAGCACUGGUUCUGCCAAGGAGUGAAGUGAGAAAGCAGUUUAACACAUUGUUAAGGGUGUGGAAAAAAUAAAAAAGCAUAAAACUG